CGGCUAGUAAGUGGCAGGUCUGGUGUUUGGAUCCAUGAAGUCUGUUUCCUGAGUCUGCACUGUUCACAGUAUGCGAUCUAUGUAAUACCGCUCCUUAUGUACAUUGUAUAAUAAUAGCUCCCUGGGAAUGUAUGUGUGAAGUUCCCAUUUGGAAGGCUGGCAUCGUAGUACUGCACUGAUUAUAUUGGCCAGGUUGGUCUUGAACUCCUGACCUUGUGAUCCACCCACCUUGACCUCCCAAAGUGCUGGGAUUACAGGCGUGAGCCACCGCUCUCGGCCCUCAUUUAAGUUUUAAUAUGUUUGUGGGUAGAAAACGUCUUAAUUUUUUUUUUUUAAUCUCAGAAAAUGACAUGUGUUGGUGUUGAGAUCUCUCUUGAGUGGCUUCAUCAUUUGUUCGUAUGCCCAAUGUAGAACCUUAUUCUUUAUCCUGAAUUCCUUCCUCCCCCUUACACCUGAUUUAAUUGUGCACUAUUGAUCUGGCUUAGUUCUGGAACUUCUCUCACUCUCACUCAGGUGUUGCCCUAGACUCAUAGGUGCUCUCUCUCCAGCCAGUUUUGACCUCUCCAUAUCUUUUUCCAUUAGAGCAGUAGUUGUCAAACUUUUUGAUUAAAACUGAGAGGCCAGGUGCCGUGGCUCAUGCCUGUAAUACCAACAGUUUGAGAAGCCCAGGUGGUAGGAUCACUUGAGCCCAGGACCAGCUUGGACAACAUAGUGAGACCUUGCCUCUACCAAAAAGUAAAAAAAUUAGCCAGGGGUGGUGACAUGUG
rnacentral:lncRNA from 10 species